rnacentral:lncRNA from 1 species
AACCGGAGCCCCCCCAGCUGCAGGUGAACGCGGGUCCACUCACGGCCCGCGCGGUGGCGGAGAAGGAUGCCCCGCACUGAAGCGCAUCGAGAAAGGGCAGGACCUGGGGGAUGAAGGGAGGAUCCUGCAAGCUUCCAGAGAGGAAACAGGAAAGGCGGCAUCUCAAGGGCUGGGACGAGAGGGCACCCUCCCUGCGGACACGGGGAAGCCUGAGACGCAGCCGCGGUGUCCCGGCCACCGCUGCCUCGAACCCAAACCGCGCAAGGGACCCCAGCGCCCGGGCGCCGCCAGCCAAGUGCGCGCGGGCGCCCAGGUUCCCAAGUCCUUCUCCCUGGAGGCUUCUGAGGCAUCGUUCCGCAGAACGGGAAUUCCAGGGAGAAAGCGGAAGAUGUGAAACCGGGACUAGGGGACCCGCCGCAGGGACGAGUUCCAGGGGGCGUGAGGAGGGGGCAGACGCGGGGCCCCGCGACCACAGACAUCAGCAAGCGGUUGCCGGCUCAGGAUUCAGCGCAGGGAAGAGCCGGCAGAGAAACAGGAAGCAGUGUUCAAGAUUGCUUCAUGGUUCAGGACAGCUGCUCAAGCUCCUACCAUCCUGUGCACAUUCCGGCUGGAAGAAGAAGGAAGGACAAAGGUUAAUCCUAGUGUUAGAACUGGCAAUUAGUGAGGCUCCAAUGGGAUGCCUGGAGGCCAGCAAGGAAGAGGCCAUGGCCAGCCGUCGGGGAAGGUCCAGGCCUGUCCUGGAAGCACUCCAGGAGGAGCCAGAUCAUACCAGAUGGGCCCCAGAUGGCAGCGCUUGACAGGAACCCCUGAGCAGGUUAGGAAGAAAAGAUGCGGAAACCUUGCUUCCAAGAAAUCCUUGCACUAGUUAACAGCUCUGUGAAAGGUAGAAGGUGAACUCCCCAGGCACUGAGCUCUCUGGCUUGCACACUCCCUCUCCCUCUCUAUACCCUCUGGCCCUCUCUGUUUCUUGCUUUCUUGCUCUUACAUCUCCAGGUGGUACUUUCACUUUAAUAAACGUUCCCACUUGUGCCGCUCAUCCACUGUGCUGUGUGUCUGUCCUUGAAUUCUUUGAUGUGAUAAGAUCAAGGACCUUCAGUGACAUCUUUGGGCCAGGCUGGGUCAAGGCCUCAGGGCCUGGGGUCUCCACAUUCCACCCAGCAGCAUAUUCAUAAGCAGCUAGAUGAGGUUUCAUACUGAGCAUUGCCAUCAUGAGCCUAUCUCAGUACUGGCAGCAAAGUGGCCUGGGGAAAAAAACAAAAAAACAAAAAAAAACAAAGUGGCCUGGGAAGUAUCUUUUAGUGGAGCAUAUUACUACCUGGAAUAAAACUUGACAGAAGCAGGGGUGCCUGGGUGGCUCAGUGGUUGAGCAUCUGCCUUUGGCCCAGGGCAUGAUCCUCGAGUCCCAGGAUGGAGUCCCAGGAUGGAGUCCCAGGAUCGAGUCCUAGGAUCGAGUCCCAUGUUGGGCUCCCUGCAUGGCCCCUGGUUCUCCCUCUGCCUAUGUCUCUGCCUCUCUCUCUGUAGGUCUCAUGAAUGAAUGAAUGAAUGAGUAAAUAAAAUCUUAAAAAAAAAAAAAACUUGACAGGAGUAGAAAUUAUCUAUAAAUUAGUUCAACAGCAGUCCUUUCUAUGUUGUAUUAAGAUUGAAAGCACUUAUUAAAAUAAAUAGGUGUCCCAGAAGUCCCAAACUGGAGGCCAGGAAGUCAUGUCAUCUGCAGAGAUGAUUUCACAAUUUUUAGUUUUCAACACUUAAAAUGCAGUAAGUUUCAUACAAAACUCCAGAUCUCUGGGGCACCUGGGCAGCUCUGCUGGUUAAACAUCUUGCUCUGCCUCAGGUUGUGAUCUCUGGGUCCUGGGAUCCAGCCCCCACCGCCCCUUCCUCAUUGCAUUUGCUCUGUGCUCAUUGCAUCUCACUCAGCUGAGUGGAAGGAGAGAGGACUCUGUCCCUCUCCCUCUGCCCUUCCCCAGCAUGUGAGCACGCUUUCUUUGACAUAAAUAAAUGUUUAAAAAACUAAAAACAAAAAAUCCUCCCAGAUUUCUGCCUUCUCUUGAACUGAAAACUUGGCAAUAUGCUGGGCCCAGAUUCUCAAUGGCAAUCCUUAGUGAGAGAUGAGAGGUAGCUGCCUCGGGAGGACGUAUGUCCUCUGUCACUGUCCCAUCUUUCCCUACCGGUCCCUGGUCUGAGCUGCAUCCUGGUCUGAGCCCCUCAUUUAAGUUCCCUUCUUGCCUCUAAUAGCCAUUUAUGUUUGCAUGCCAUUCCCUUUACAAAUAUAUAAUAAUGGUGGUUUUCAAUGUAACUAGAGUGGGUCAAAACUGAGAGCAUAGAGAGCCUGCAGAAGAGCAUGGAGAGCCUGCAGAAGAGUCUCUUGUUGAGAUACUUGAGCAUCUCCUAUGUUUCCUUAUUUAUAAAGUAUGUUGGACUACGUGAAAGACAAAGUCACUGCCCACUUUAAAUAUAGGCCCUGAUUGAGAACUUUGAGAGGUAAAGGUUCUUUUUUUUUUUUUUUUAAGAUUUUAUUUAUUUAUUUAUUUAUGAGUGACAGAGAGGGGGCAGAAACACAGGCAGAGGGAGAAGCGAGCUCCAUGCAGGAGGCACAACGUGGGUGGAACUCGAUCCUGACUCCAGGAUCACUCCCUGGGGGGAAGGCAGGUGCUAAACCGCUGAGCCACCCAGGGAUCCCCUGAGGUAGGGGUUCUAUGCAAGGCAAAGUCUCCCCUAGAAAAUAACCAAGUCCUCAGAACUGGAGGUUCUGCGUGAACACGGGAGGCUGAGUGGAAGGAGAGAGGGCAGCGUAGUCAGUUCACUCAGAUUAUGCUCUAAGGAUGGGGUAGGGUUGAUGAGUUUGCAGAGGGCUGCGGUGGGCACAGCCAAAGCCUCAAGGCCCUAAGUGCUCACCAGAGCCCCAAGCUCAAGGGUUUGGACAAUGUCGUGGAGGCAGAAAAGGAAGCUUUGAAGAUUUGUGAGUGAGAAGGGAGAGAAUGAAAGGAGCAUUUCAGAGUUUUCUAAGGAUGAUGCUCACCUUUGGAGGUGUUCUCUAAGGACGUUAGAGAGAAAGACUUGCCAUUGGGAAAUUCGUGGAAAUGCUUGUCACCCGGCUACUAACUCAUCUAAAAAAACAACUGCAAGCUGACAAUGUUGAAAUGAUUUCGGCCAAGGUGUCAUCAUGGAAAUGAAAGAAAACAGAGGCACGUUGAAAAAUAAAGCAAGGCAAGGCUGUCUGCACUCAGUGAAAUCCCGAGGAUGAGGACGAUUCUGAGGAACCAGCAAAGGAGACCAGGAAGUGGCAAG